GAGGGUUUAGGUCAGUGGUAGAAUGCAUGCUUAGCAAGCAUGGGGUCCUGGGUUCAAUUCCCAGUAUCUCCA
rnacentral:tRNA from 1 species